rnacentral:rRNA from 1 species
GCGCACCAGUCGCGAAAACUCCGCAAUACGCGAAAGCGUGACGGGGCCAUCCCGAGUGCUGUCCGCUGAGGACGGCUUUUCCCCAGUGUAGAUAGCUGGGGGAAUAAGGGGAGGGCAAGUCUGGUGUCAGCCGCCGCGGUAAUACCAGCUCUCCGCGUGGUGGGGAUGUUUAUUGGGCCUAAAGCAUCCGUAGCUGGCUGGGCAAGUCCUCCGUUAAAUCCAACGAUUUAAUCGUUGGCCUGCGGAGGAUACUGUACGGCUUGGAGGCGAGAGAGGCCGACGGUAUUCUCGGGGUAGGGGUGAAAUCCUAUAAUCUCGGGAAGACCACCA